UACGUAGGGUCGCAGCGUUGUCCGGAAUUAUUGGGCGUAAAGAGCUCGUAGGCGGUUUGUUGCGUCGGCUGUGAAAUCCCGAGGCUCAACCUCGGGUCUGCAGUCGAUACGAGCAAACUAGAGUGUUGCAGGGGAGACUGGAAUUCCUGGUGUAGCGGUGAAAUGCGCAGAUAUCAGGAGGAACACCGGUGGCGAAGGCGGGUCUCUGGGCAACAACUGACGCUGAGGAGCGAAAGCGUGGGUAGCAAACAGG
rnacentral:rRNA from 1 species